rnacentral:lncRNA from 1 species
UCUGAACUAUGAACUAAAACUGGCAGCAGAAUGGCUAUACAACACAAGUGAAGAUAAUUAUCAUAGUUGAGAACUUCCAUAAGCAGUUUUGACAAAACUUCGAGAGACUGAAAAAUCCAAUACCUAUAGUCAAAAACCUGGGAACUGCUGCAUCUUUCCCAAGACAAACAUUGAAGCAAGACACUUAUUCCAGUAGACCAACGUGGACCUAGAUGCCCGUCCAUGUAGUCUCGACAGCUAAGAAUGACAUCCAAUGAUGACCAAACCAAAUAAGUUGAGCGAGGAGAAACAUGAUAACAAAAUUAGCAUUAAAGAUGGAAGUCAAAAUAUCAAAUCCAAAACUGAUAGGUCCACUCUAUGGUUGUAACAAGAAAAGAUGAGGGGACUGAUUCAUCUCAAGAUCCAAAUUUCCACUUCCACUCGUAUUCUGAUUCAAUAAAAGGAAAUUGCUAUAUUUCAGAGUAGUAAAUAGGAAACACACGGUUUCUCACAACAAAAACCUCAGAAUUUCCCAAAACCUGGAAGCAAAACUUGAUUCCCCCAAAACUGCAUCUAGAAAGGCUACCAGCUUCCAAUUUCUAAAAAAAACAUUGGAAAUCAAUCGAAGGUACACAAGAAAAUAAAUGCACUGCAAAGGUACCCAUAAUCAUUCUCCUAUCAUUAUCACCCAUACCUGAUCAAACAAACACCAACAACGAAUCAAUAAAUUGGCAAAAAAAAAAAACAGAACUAAUUGUGAACGCCCAAAACCCCUAACGUUCCUCCUCCUAGAUGAUCAUGAUCAAAGAGUUGCAAAUCAGAAACCCCAACCCAUAUUAAAAAAAUCAAAAUCAAAACUAAAGGAAGACAUCAGAAUCAACAAUAACUACCCAUAUAUCUUGAUCAAACA